GGCAAAGAAGGUUGGAUGGGUUUUGACCCUUUUGUGAAGUCUUAGUUACCAUCCUUGGGAACGCUGACAAAAACAAACCAACCAGGGGUCCUGGCUGUCACUGGAGCUGAAGGUCAGGAUCAACAACACGAGAAGAUUCAAGCAGACUGAUGAAAUGCCAUCUGGUAGCGAGGGCUAAGGCAGACAGUAAAUCCUGGCUUUGAAUGGCGGUGGAAGCCCCAGUUGACACUUGACUCAGUUGACACAUCAACACAAUGGAAUGCUUGACGGGCAUUCCGCGUCAGAUGGAAAACGGAGAGGGGGCUACACACUCAAGAAAGAUACCCGAUGACACAAUUCCUUUCAGGGGCUGGUGCCUUGCAGACCUCAGCUGAUCUAUACUUCCUCCCUCCGUGUCGCCGUUACAAGAGCACCUCCUGCACUAUUAAUCCUCUCUUUAAAUAAACUCACUUCUUAAAUAAGCACAUUUGAACAGUAAGUGUUAUAUCAGAACUGACAGUGAAAAUCCAGCAAUAAUAGCUUUAAAACCGCUGGUUUGAUUUGGCCCUCAUUUUAUAUCAAUACUAUGCAUGAAAACAAAUGCAUUCCAAUUAAACUGUUAAGAAAUUUAUCUGUGUACCAUUUAAAAUGCCACUGUGUACUAUCAGGGACUCCAGUAACUUCCAAAAUAAUGUCUUAAGGGAGUGUAAAAAUUCAUACAUGUAAACACUGUAUUUGAUAUGUUGAGCAUUUUAUUUGAAUUAAAUAUUAAAUGGCAUCAGGUGAGUAUGUGUGCCUUGUUACAGGAAAACAUGACAUGUUUAAAGCAAGCCAGCAAACAAAAAGUGGAGUAAAGCUACAGCAGGAGUCCACGCUGUGUGGCCGUUGAGGAGCGUGCAAACACAGCAUUAGUGACUUAUCACCUCAAACCAGAAGCACAACAAAGCCUUUGUUUAUUCUGCAAAUCUGAGGCAAAAUAAUUGCUGCAACUUAUCUUCAGAUGCUGAAAAAGCCACCCGAAGCGCACCUGUGCUUGUGGGCUUGGAGUC